CCUACGGUGCGCAGCAGUGGGGAAUAUUGCACAAUGGGGGCAACCCUGAUGCAGCCACGCCGCGUGAGUGAAGAAGUACUUCGGGAUGUAAAGCUCUAUCAGCAGGGAAGAAAAUGACAGUACUUGUCUCAUAAUCCCUUGCUAACUACGUUACAGCAGCCGCGGUAACACGCAGGGGGCAAGCGUUAUCAGGAAUUACUGGGGGUAAAGGGAGCGUAGACGGCUGCGCAAGUCAGAAGUGAAAACCCGGGGCUCAACCGGGGGACUGCUUUUGAAACUGGGCAGCUAGAGUGCAGGAGAGGUAAGUGGAAUUCCUAGUGUAGCGGUGAAAUGCGGAGAUAUGAGGAGGAACACCGGUGGCGAAGGCGGCUAACUGGCACAUAACUGACGCUGAGGAGCGAAAGCGUGGGUAGCAAACAGGAUGAGAUACCCCAGUAGUC
rnacentral:rRNA from 1 species